UUUUUCGUUCUGUUAAUUUUUUUAUUGUUAUUCCUGUUUACUUCUUCUUCUCUUUCUUUUUUUCUUUGGGGAGAACACGAAUAAAAA
rnacentral:ribozyme from 13 species